CUCUGUGGCCUCCCUCCCGGGUGGGCACACUCUGUCCUUUCCCGGUGUUUCCAUGCGGUCCCUCUGCGUGUGCCUGUGUUCUACCCCCGCUCUAACAAGGUCACCAGCUAGAUAGGAUUGGGGCCACCCUAGUGACCUCAUUUAACCUCCGUCUCCCGUCUGAAGACGCCGUCUGCAAAUACAGUCCCAGUCACAAGUGCUGGCUCUCAGGGCUCGAACAGGGGAGCCCGGGGGGGGGGGGGCGCCGCUCAGCCGCAGGAGCCCGUGGCGCUGUCCCAGGGCGGUGCCCGCCUCUCGCCUGGAGAACAAGAAGGGGUUCCCUGCACACCGUGCUCUGCUGGGAGAGCGUGGUUCUGGGUCAGAGGAUGGAGCGCCAACAGACCUUGCAAGGGGAGGCGCAGGCAGGAAAGCGUCCCGGGCUCUCGGUUGAGGAAUGGUCUCAGACCCAGCUGCCGCACACCGGGGCCCCUGCCAAACACCGAUGGUUCACAAGGUGAGGGGAUCCAGGGAAGGGAAGCGAGUAGAGUGAGAGGUGGGCGAGGGGCCCGUGGCGUUCUGCCGGGCAGAACGUGGUGCGAACACACAGAAAGCAGGUGGAGAAUAGAAAAGGGGGCAAAACUCUUCACGUCCCUCAGUUUGCAGAGCUGUUUGCCUCAGUCCGUCCUCCCCCAGCUGGUGAGUCGCGGGGCGGGCUGCAUCCGGUCCAGCGGGACGAAGAAGGAAGCAGGAUGAGCGAGGUGUGGUCUAGAGCCCCGUGGACGUGGGCCAGGGGUGACCUUUGAGUCCCACGUGGUCCCCAGUCCCUCCGGGAGCCAGCAGGGAGCCAGUUUGUCCUCUGGGCCCGUAGGCACACCGGUAAGUGGGGACUUCCAUACCAGGGGAGCGCAGUCUGACAGUCUGGCUGCAGGCUGAGGUCAAAGCCGUGCCUUAGUGGCUGGAGGCCCGCGUCUGAGCGGGGCUCUGCUCUGCUAACCCCCAAGUCCCCUCGCUGCUCUGAUUCUGUUCUCGUUCCCAGAAGGAAGGGGCUGGGCCAGUCGGC
rnacentral:lncRNA from 1 species